rfam:Dipodomys ordii contig_46403, whole genome shotgun sequence.
UGGCUCAGUGGUAGAGCGCUUGCCUUGCAUGCCUGAGGCCCUGGGUUCGAUUCCCAG